AGUGAACGCUGGCGGUAGGCCUAACACAUGCAAGUCGAACGGCAGCACAGUAAGAGCUUGCUCUUACGGGUGGCGAGUGGCGGACGGGUGAGGAAUACAUCGGAAUCUACUUUUUCGUGGGGGAUAACGUAGGGAAACUUACGCUAAUACCGCAUACGACCUACGGGUGAAAGCAGGGGAUCUUCGGACCUUGCGCGAUUGAAUGAGCCGAUGUCGGAUUAGCUAGUUGGCGGGGUAAAGGCCCACCAAGGCGACGAUCCGUAGCUGGUCUGAGAGGAUGAUCAGCCACACUGGAACUGAGACACGGUCCAGACUCCUACGGGAGGCAGUAGUGGGGAAUAUUGGACAAUGGGCGCAAGCCUGAUCCAGCCAUACCGCGUGGGCGAAGAAGGCCUUCGGGUUGUAAAGCCCUUUUGUUGGGAAAGAAAAGCAGCAGGUUAAUACCCCGCUGUUCUGACGGUACCCAAAGAAUAAGCACCGGCUAACUUCGUG
rnacentral:rRNA from 1 species